rnacentral:rRNA from 1 species
AGUCUCAGUUCGGAUUGAAGGCUGAAAUUCGCCUUCAUGAAGCCGGAAUUGCUAGUAAUGGCAGGUCAGCAUACUGCCGUGAAUACGUUCCCGGGUCUUGUACACACCGCCCGUCACACCAUGGGAGUCGGAAAUGCCCGAAGUCAGUGACCUAACCGAAAGGGAGGAGCUGCCGAAGGUGGAGCCGGUAACUGGGGUGAAGUCGUAACAAGGUAUC